rnacentral:lncRNA from 1 species
AUAGAUGGGGAAACUAUCGGUCCGCGGGGGGAGGGAGGGGCCGAGGGGUGGUUCCGGAAAUGUUUUGGACACUUGUCAGACUACUCCAUGUCCUGCUUUCAGUACUCCAUCCUAUUACUCCACAUAGCUGAAUUGGAGUAUUAGGAAGUAUCGUCGAAUCUGAGUCCUUGGAUUAAAAAAUAGACGGUCCGAAUUAAUUACAGGGUGCAGUAGAAGAGCUUAAACGAAUGCUAGUAGAGUAGAGAGUAGCAGCUGGUAACAGCGAAGGCAAAUGAGAGAGCCGGCGAAGAGUAGCAGCUGGCAUGUACAGGAACGUGAUCAACGUCAAUCCUAAACAAACAAAGAGGGAACCAUGCAUGCACACACCAUUUUCGCGCACAAGCCGAAAGCAGCGUCCACUAUCUCCUUUACUACAGUCCUUUGUGGCCGUAACCCCAAACGAGGCAAAGGAAAGAAAAAGAAAAAGAAAAGCACGACCUAGCUAUCUUCCCCUUAGCACGCGACACGUCGCGCCAAGAGCUCUCGUAGCUACCGCAUGCACGCGUGAGCCAGCCAGGUUAAAGUCUUAAUCACCUGCAGGUCAGAGGCUAAUCAGAUACAGAUCGAGACGCCUACCCACGCUAACCAAAGUAAUUAUACCACACUUCUCUCU